UAGAGUUUGAUCCUGGCUCAGUAUGAACGCUAGCUACAGGCUUAACACAUGCAAGUCGAGGGGAAACGGCGCGGCAGCUUGCUGCCGCGGCCGCCGACCGGCGAAUGGGUGAGUAACACGUAUCCAACCUGCCCCCAGGCAAGGGAUAAUCCAUAGAAAUGUGGCCUAAUACCUUAUGUGGUCAGAUGAUGGCAUCAGACUUUGACUAAAGACUUGUCGCCUGGGGAUGGGGAUGCGCCUGAUUAGCUUGUUGGCGGGGCAACGGCCCACCAAGGCAACGAUCAGUAGGGGUUCUGAGAGGAAAGUCCCCCACAUUGGAACUGAGACACGGUCCAAACUCCUACGGGAGGCAGCAGUGAGGAAUAUUGGUCAAUGGAGGCAACUCUGAACCAGCCAAGUAGCGUGCAGGACGACGGCCCUAUGGGUUGUAAACUGCUUUUAUAAGGGGAUAAAGGAUGCCACGUGUGGUGUUUUGCAUGUACCUUAUGAAUAAGGACCGGCUAAUUCCGUGCCAGCAGCCGCGGUAAUACGGAAGGUCCGGGCGUUAUCCGGAUUUAUUGGGUUUAAAGGGAGCGCAGGCGGGCGAUUAAGCGUGACGUGAAAUGCAGCGGCUCAACCGUAUGAAGUGCGUCGCGAACUGGUUGCCUUGAGUGAGUUCGACGUGCGCGGAAUUCGUGGUGUAGCGGUGAAAUGCUUAGAUAUCACGAAGAACUCCGAUUGCGAAGGCAGCGCACGAGGCCUUUACUGACGCUAAAGCUCGAAGGUGCGGGUAUCGAACAGGAUUAGAUACCCUGGUAGUCCGCACGGUAAACGAUGGAUGCCCGCUGUUUGCGAUACACUGUGAGCGGCCAAGCGAAAGCGUUAAGCAUCCCACCUGGGGAGUACGCCGGCAACGGUGAAACUCAAAGGAAUUGACGGGGGCCCGCACAAGCGGAGGAACAUGUGGUUUAAUUCGAUGAUACGCGAGGAACCUUACCCGGGCUUGAAUUGCAGCCGAAAGAUCCAGAGAUGGUGAUGUCCUUCGGGACGGCUGUGAAGGUGCUGCAUGGUUGUCGUCAGCUCGUGCCGUGAGGUGUCGGCUCAAGUGCCAUAACGAGCGCAACCCCUCUCCGUAGUUGCCAUCAGGCUAUGCUGGGCACUCUGCGGACACUGCCACCGUAAGGUGCGAGGAAGGUGGGGAUGACGUCAAAUCAGCACGGCCCUUACGUCCGGGGCUACACACGUGUUACAAUGGCCGGUACAGAGCGCCGCGCGCCCGCAAGGUCGCGCCAAUCGCGAAACCCGGCCUCAGUUCGGACUGGGGUCUGCAACCCGACCCCACGAAGCUGGAUUCGCUAGUAAUCGCGCAUCAGCCAUGGCGCGGUGAAUACGUUCCCGGGCCUUGCACUCACCGCCCGUCA
rnacentral:rRNA from 1 species